AGCCCGGUAGUGUAGAGGUCAAUCACAGGAGGCUCUGGACCUCUUGACUUAGGUUCGAAUCCUAGCCGGGCUACCA
rnacentral:tRNA from 1 species